rnacentral:rRNA from 1 species
ACGAACGCUGGCGGCAGGCCUAAUACAUGCAAGUCGAGCGGUCCCUUCGGGGGCAGCGGCGGACGGGUGAGUAACGCGUGGGAACGUGCCCUUUGGUACGGAACAACUGAGGGAAACUUCAGCUAAUACCGUAUGUGCCCCCCGGGGGAAAGAUUUAUCGCCAUUGGAGCGGCCCGCGUUAGAUUAGCUAGUUGGUAGGGUAAUGGCCUACCAAGGCGACGAUCUAUAGCUGGUCUGAGAGGAUGAUCAGCCACACUGGGACUGAGACACGGCCCAGACUCCUACGGGAGGCAGCAGUAGGGAAUCUUGCGCAAUGGGCGAAAGCCUGACGCAGCCAUGCCGCGUGAAUGAUGAAGGUCUUAGGAUUGUAAAAUUCUUUCACCGGGGACGAUAAUGACGGUACCCGGAGAAGAAGCCCCGGCUAACUUCGUGCCAGCAGCCGCCGUAA